rnacentral:misc_RNA from 1 species
CCGAGGGCCACAGCCUCCGCGC